rnacentral:rRNA from 1 species
ACUCGAGUGGCGAACGGGUGAGUAACACGUGGGUGAUCUGCCCUGCACUUCGGGAUAAGCCUGGGAAACUGGGUCUAAUACCGGAUAGGAGCCAUUUUUAGUGUGAUGGUUGGAAAGUUUUUCGGUGUAGGAUGAGCUCGCGGCCUAUCAGCUUGUUGGUGGGGUAAUGGCCUACCAAGGCGGCGACGGGUAGCCGGCCUGAGAGGGUGGACGGCCACAUUGGGACUGGGAUACGGCCCAG